rnacentral:Y_RNA from 2 species
GGCUGGUCUGAGUGAAGUGGUGUUUACAACGAAUUGAUCACAACCAGUUACAGAUUUCUUUGUUCCUUCACUCCUACUGCUUCACUUGACUAGCUUUAA